AACGCUGUUUAUUUAAUUCAUACAUCUUUCUUUAUUGAAUUUCUGUGCUCAUAGAUUUUUUCUUAUGUUUUAUGUAGACUCUCAUACAGAAUCAUCCCAAAUCAAUCUAAAAUGAUAAAAUCUUUCCAAAUAGUUAUAACAAAUAGAAAUUGCAGAACAACAACAUAUUGCAGUGUUAGAUUUUUUCAACAUCGUGCAGCCCUACUUGAAAUUAAAUGUUAAAUCAAAUAAAGUUUAUGUAAAAACGUUGCGAAACUUGGACAAAAGGUUACGAUUAUACUCGCUUAGUUUUUUAUAUCUAAAUCAGCAUUACACAACCUACUUUUGCAUAAAUUAAACUUCAUAAACUGUUUUUGCUACUAAAAUAAAAUCCAUGUAACUGAAAUAAAAUAUAUUUAAAAACCCGGACAAAAUAUUACGAUCAUUCAUGUUUAGUUUUUAUAUCUACAUCAGUAUUUACACAAUAAAAUCUUGCAUUAAUUAAACUAUAUAAAUUGUUUUUUACUACUUGAAAAUAAAUACAUGUACCUGAAAUAAAAUUCAUUAAAAAGAAAAUAUCUGCAAGGAAAAGAGUUCAAAUGUUUACUUAAAUUAAACUAACAAAAACUAAAAUAAAAGCUUAAAUCUAUAAUAGUGUAACUUUUGUAUUUUAUUUUUUGUGAAGUUCAGAUUUAUCUAUCAUUUUGAGAAAACGACCUUUAAAAAUAUGAACUCUAAUUGAAAUCUGUUGACACAAAAUGACAAAAAAAAAAAAAGACAAAAGAAGCACUUAAAAGUCUACUUUAGUUGUUUUCUCUCCAUUUAUACUGAUAAAAAAAAUCUUUAUGAAAAGCCCCAAAAAUUGGUAGGUGCAUGAAAAAAACGAUGCUUUUUGGUUUGGUAGAAACGAAAGCCAGGUAAUCAGCCGCAUUGUUAAGCGGCGCGUUUCAGUGUCCAAAACAUGGCUAAUUAUGAGCGUCAGCUACAAGCAACAAUCACACACGACUCACCUGUCUAAUGAAGGCGUAAACGAGCGCUUGUGGUCUCUACACCAUUAGCCAAAGGGCCCGCUCGCUGAGGUAGACUGUGACUUGUUGUCAGAAAGCAGAAGAAACAACAACAAAAUCACUAGUCUUCCACAGCGAAUCGGGUCAGUGCUGGUGUCUGGAGAAAUGGGAGUAAUUUUAGCCAGAUUUACUUCAAUAUCUGCGUUCUUCUCACUGGAAGACGGAAUUGAUUUACUGUCUGUGAGAAUGAAUAUUUAUUAAAAAGCUCUUGCUAUAUGUGUGCUUUCAGCUUCCAAGUAACCCGAGCUGAAGCUCUCCAGGGACCCCGGCCUGAAUCCGGAGAAAUCCGAGACUGAUGGGAGCUCAUAAUGUGGUAUUACCUGCCCUUUCCAUUGAGAAGACUUUGCAGAGCCUGGAAAAUGUCGCCUCUAUCUGAAGGCUAUACUGCGGAAACCUUGUGUCCUCGGCCCGUUCGCUCCGAUGAGGCUCAAAAUGAAAGGGAUGAUUCAGUCGACGUGCCUGUAGUUCGAAUAACAGGUCUGUGCUGGAGAAAAUGUCCCACAAAGAGCUUUAGGUGUGAAUCACGCAACGUAGGUUUAGCGAGUGGAAACCUUCGGAAAAAAAGAAAUAAGAAAUGUUAGAGAUUGUGAGAAAAGAAGGCAAUAUGGAGAAUUAAUCUAUAGGCUUGAUGAUGUUCGCAGUUCUUCGCAAUACUUGUCAGUGGACGGAGUGUGGUUGUCAGUCAGUGGUGUACAGACCGAUUUCUCGGUAAUUAACGCGGUGCUGAAAUUGGAGAGAUGUGGAGGUGGUGAAUUUGCUCCGCAACCCCCCAAUCUGCCUGUCAGAGGGAUGCUGGAUUUGGGUUGAGGUAACUGGCAGUCGUAUCAGAGUGUGUGUCUGCUGUUUUUAUGUUUGUCUGUGGAAAUUCACCCUCUUUUAAGACGGGAACUGCAUGCAGAUAUGCAGUCCAAAAUCGUCCUUUUUAAAGAAACGCCUGCAUACACGGUGUGCUACGUGUUGCGAAAACCCCUUAUUCGUUUAAGAUUUCCUCGGCGUACAAUCAGAUUACCUCAAUUGUGCAUCCGCCAGUUUUUAUAGCAGCAAAAAAAAAAUCAAUUCUGCCAUUUUCUAAACUGCACAAUGUCGCAAUGAAGUCAGAUGACCUCGUGGCCAUUGUGCUCAAAUCACAUCUGAUUGUCUCUUAUAGUCGCCAUCGACGAUUCAAUACGCUGUGUGCUUCCAAACAGCCAUGCAUCUUUCUAAUCAAUGGGUAGAAAUUGAAUUUAACACAUUUCGGUGGCAUUCAAGGUGAUUUAACCCUUGUGUGUGCUUGCACUUUUAACAAUAGAAGAAUUAGUUUGGUUCCACAAAGAAUUGUGUGAUCAGUUCUUAAAAUAUCUAUUCUACAGAACCUUUUGUCCACUAUAAAAAAACCUUUGAGAAAGGCAAAGGUUUCAUAGAUGAUAAAAGUUCAUUACGGAACUAAUAAUGAUGCAUUGAAAAGCCUUUAUUGUUAAGAUUUUAUAAAAUUUGCAAUAUUUUUACUAAAUUAUUCCCAUGCCAUUUUUGCAUUACAAUGCAUUCUUUAUUGAUGGGUUGUUGGCAAGGCUUCAAAAUUAAA